rnacentral:rRNA from 1 species
AUUAAUAAGCGGAGGAAAAGAAACCAACCGGGAUUCCCUGAGUAAGGGCGACUGAAACGGGACCUAGCCCAGCGCAUAACCUCGCGGUUCGGACAGAGCCGACGAGGGGUGUUGCGUAUCGGUGGAUCCGUCCCGCUCGUGCUCUACCGCCUAAGUCCAAGUAGGAAUACAGCCCCAUGGAGGGUGAGAGGCCCGUGUGGCGGCGCCCGCAAGGGCUACUAGAGCGCGGGCGGAGGGAUCGCUUCACCGGAGAGUCGGGUUGCUUAAUACUGCAGCCCUAAGAGAGGUGGUAAACUCCAUCUAAGGCUAAAUACAACCACGAGUCCGAUAGGAGACAAGUACCGUGAGGGAAAGUUGAAAAGGACUUUGAAGAGAGAGUUCAAGAGUACGUGAAGCCGUUAGAAGCUUAAACGGGUGGAACCGCGAAGGUCGAACGAGGGCACUCACCUCGUCGGGCGGGCGGGACCUGGGGUGCUCCGACAGGCCGGCGCCGAUGUCCAAAGUGUGAGCGCAGGAGCACCCUGUCCGUCGCGUCCCGUUCCGGCGGGCGUAUUUGUCCCUCUAGUAGCAAACGCCGCGAGUCGUGGCGGGGACCAGAAGGCCCACAUAGCCCGGAUUGGUACCCUCAGGCCGGAGGGGAAACCGCGGCUGGGAUUUGCAUGGUGCCCCUGCCACGGCUUGGCCCAGGGCAGCCUCUCGAAGGCUGCUUCGCGGCGGAGAAAGGAGUCGGUGAUCCACCUGA